GCCGCCGCCGCUGCAACCCCGACAAGCUGCUUGUCGUCCAUGAUGAAGGCCAUAGGCCGACUUGCACUUAACCUCCUAGGCUUUGGUGUAAACGAGAUCAUCUUCUAGCUACAGCGGCAAAUCGUCGAAUUUUCUGGUUUGCUCUCCAACGACGCAAUUCAUCAGCGCCAUCCUCGUUUUCCCUCGGCUUUAUUGCAUCCCAAUAAUCAUUGGUGAGAAUUCCAGACUUGACGAUGCUCGUUUUCUACCCAUCUGCUACUGCUAUUUAUAUGCUCAUGACCAUGUUUCAAGCUACGGCAUGCGACGAGCAAGUCCAAGCCGCCGCCGGUGCACUCUCCCGAUCGAAGCCGGACUCAUCGAACCCCGAGAUGGACACUGACAAGUUAGCUGUGGACGCCUGGAGCUCUCCCUAUCCAUGAUAAACACUUUGGUGAGAUCUCCAUCAUCUGCUCUUGAUCCUUAGAGUCAGUGAAUUAUGCUUAGCAACAGCCAUUGCCGGUUCCAAAUGCAAUUGGUAGCUUGAUGACAUCAUACUGACAUCAUGAUGACGCAGAUGAAUUUUGUUGCCGUUUUUCUUUAGAAAAACAAAUCUAGAAAUACAAAGAAAAUACACUAGUUUGUUUAGGCCAUAUCUUCUCCGUUUUAAUUCCGAUUUUCGUGAACUUUACGUUUGUGUGAUCGUAGCGCUGCAUAGAAUAUUUUGAUAAACUUUUAUAUUUGUUUUACUACUGUUUGGUGUAUUGUUCUAAUUAUAGCUUGUUUGCUUCGUGUAUGUUUGUCUCCGAUUGUUUGCGUGCUGUUGAUUGAUGUUUGGGAAUAGACGGUGAGCCGUGCGUUGUUGAUCAAGA
rnacentral:lncRNA from 1 species